UGUUGUUCUUAUACGGGGCCUUCCGCCUAGAGUUCCGGCUCCUCUAAAUGGUGGGAAUGAGGGUCUGAGGGACAAAGCCAGCCUGGUUCCCGCAGCCACCUCAGAAUGGACGGAAUCCCCAUUGUGUGCGGCGCCCCAUUCCGCCCUCCCCUUGCCCACACCGGACAUGCCAACAAACAGCUCAUUGAGUCCGGGGGAGGGGCCGGGAGACAACAAUGUCCCCCAGCGGGCCAGGGCUGUGAGCUCAGCUGGGGGUGGGGGCUGCCAUGGAGGCCAGGGAGCGAUGAUCUCAGCCUGGGGAGGGCUGGCCCCUGCGACAGGCUGACCCCAGCCUGGCCUCCCCGGUGAGGCUGAGAAGUCCUGACCGGGGUUGGCCUCACCCUGGCUGCCCCACCCCCUGGGGCCGAGCUGGGAACCAACUGGUGCUUCUCACGCUCAAACUGCUCUAGCCAAGGGCGCCAACAAGGCGCUGCAGGGGGGCCUACAGGACCAGCAGAGCCACCUCAGACCCAAGAGGGACAGGCCCCAGGCGUUGGUGCAUACCUGGUCAUCAGCCGCAGAUCUGGAGAGCUCCUGCGUCUCGCCUUCCCUCUGCACCUCCCUGUUCCAGAUCACCCUGCACACCAUGGCCAGAUGGAAGCGGAACACCCUCUUUUGCUCAAGAACCCGCAGCUUCCCUGAUACCUAUCAGUCAAGUCCAAAUUCAUCUGUCUGUUUGAUGAAUUCACCCCAGGAGUCCCCAGCUUCCUCCCUACCCAAAGAAGAGUUGUGUUGAGAGGGCAGGAGCAGAGAUCAAGUGGAUAUGAGAGAAGAGGAAGCAGCAGAGCGGUGGGUGCGAGCAGUGGCAGAUGGAGAGUAGCGCUGCCGGGGCGCAUCUGCGGGGAGGGGCAACAUCGAUCCUGGCCCCCCUUGGAAGCCCGUUGGUUCUGGUCCUUACUCGCCAGCAUGCUUCCACCUGCAGGGCCAAGGUCCGAGGAACGGCAGCGCCUGA